UUGGGACUAUUUGGUUUCCAAAGUUCUUUCAGAGCAUCUAGUUCUGCAACAAAAACAUCCUUUUGCUCCUGAAACUGGCUCAGACAGAACAUAAUGAACAAAGAACAAUGUCUGCUGGAUGGAGCAUUGGAGAAAAAGUUAAAUCAUCUGCUUCUGCUUUUGGAUUAUUUGAAAAUGAGUAACUGAUUCUCUAUCUCCAUGCUCAGCUGUUUGGAGGCUGAUGGAUUCCAACAAAUUCAGGACAUGCAUGAACUGCAAGGAUGGAAAUCGAGAGAAGCCCUAGGAAAAGAAGUUCCAGUGACAGACCCAAAGUAGGAUCCUGUUCAACGGGAGCUCCCAAGGCCUGACACUAUUACAGAGGCUAUGGAGCGCUCACAAAAAAGGACCUAUCAAGACUGCACUCCAGAAGACCCAACAAGCAGCUGAAAGAGUCUGAUGCAGAUAUUUGCACCCAACCAAUGGAUUGGUUUUUCCAAAUUUUAGAAGCUGCUGACACCUGUGGUUGAAUUAGAGAAAGACUGAAAGAAGCUGAGGGGAAAGUGACCCUGUAUGAGGACAAGAAAUAUUAACCUUGUCACCCGAGAUCUCUCAAACACUUGACCACCAACCAGGCAGCAUACACUAGCUGAUAUGAACACCCCCAACCCUCCGCCCCCCCCCCCCACACACACACAUAUACAGCAGAGGACUGCCAGAUCUGGGUUCAGUUACAGAAGAUGUACUUAACCCUCAAGAAACUGAAGGCCCCAGGAAGUUUAGAGGUCUGAUGGGGUCGGCGUGAGGGGUGGGGACAUCCUCAUGGAGACGGGGCAAGGAGGAGGUAUGGGAUGUGGAACAGUUGGAGUGUGAACUGGGUGGGGAAUACAAUCUGGAGUCUAAAACAAAAAAACAAACAAACAAAUAAAUAAACAAACAAAUAAA